UACAGAGACUGCAAGCGUUAUUCGGAUUCACUGGGCGUAAAGGGUGCGCAGGCGGCCGUGUGUGUGAGGCGUGAAAGCCUGGAGCUUAACUCCAGAAUUGCACCUCAAACUACACGGCUAGAGCAUUGGAGAGGGUAGCAGAAUUCACGGUGUAGCAGUGAAAUGCGUAGAUAUCGUGAGGAAUACCAGAGGCGAAGGCGGCUACCUGGACAAUUGCUGACGCUCAGGCACGAAAAGCGUGGGGGAGCAAAAAGGG
rnacentral:rRNA from 1 species